CUGAUGACAAUGCGCAUGAGAAAAACUUGCGGGCUAAUAGCAAAUAAAAAAAAAUAUAUAUAUACAUUUUUUUUUGUAUCAACCGGCUUUGUUGCCAAAGUGAUUUGUUUUACAUUAGUUCGCAAGUUUCCUUUCGCGCGCUGUCAUCAGUGAGUGUCCUUUUCGGUUCUAAAGCUAAUCAAAAACGUGGAAGAACCACUUCAAUUAAAGCUAUAGAUUUCCUCAGAUCUCCCUGCACUACUACUGUGCUCACUAUACCCAGUGGGAAAUUGCCAAGAUUCACGAUUGGCUUCCUAUCAAAGGUUUUUUAAUUUUGUUACAUAUUUUAUCAAAAUUCUCCAUAUAGUGGAGAAGAUAUUGCAAAAGAUUUUCUUUUGAUAAAGUUUUACACAAUUAUUGUAUAAUAUAACUUGACAUUAUAUUCACAACAUACAGGCUGUAGAUCCCUCUCAAGAUGUUGAAGACUUUGCUCAAAUUCGAUGGAAAUCUCUUAUUUUUGAAAAACAAAUUAACUCACAUAAAUGAUAAUCAUACUCUUACUUCGUUCUAGUUAUCGUUGUUAAACCUAGUGAGGAAUGGAACGCGCUUCCAACUUAUUCUAUCUUCAAAAUUAGUUCAGCCGUCUUGGCACGUCUUUGUGAGGCUGUUGGUGAUAAAGUUUAGUAUGCUAAUUGAGAGAACAGCUGCACGCUUCCCCUACUACCAACGAAAUACUAAAAUUAUUGAAUUUAAAUUGCUAUAAUUAUAAUGUCUUACGGAUGAUGCGAUUCUAAUCUUCAUUGUUAUAAGCUUGUCGUUUAUUAUUUUGAGUUUCAAAAAUCCAAUUUUCUCGAAGACAAUGAUAUUCUCAUCUCGGUCGUGUGUAAAAUUAUGAUUGUAAAAUUAUUUACUAUUUUAGUGAUAAAUCAGUGUUGGAAGAAAGAAUUUAAAAUGCUACCGUCCUACGUAUAUCAAGGACCACCGGCUUUCAAAAAUCAUGAAAGCUGGGGCCUCUAAGCUAAGAAAAAUGCUAUUAAAAGGGUAUAGCACUAACCAUGAAGCAGAUUAGUAGCAGAGUAUCAGUGUAUCGGUAUCUUUUAAAAGUCCAUCAGAACAAAUAAAUAAGAGUCAAAAAUGUUCAAUAGACACAAGGUCAUUCUAGGAGAAGAACAAAGUAAGCAUAACAAGAAAUACAUGCUCUCCAUGUCACAUUAACGACGAAAUGGAACACGUCUUACCCUGCUCGUAAAGUAAUGCGCGCCGGAGUUGUUUACUUCUAUGUGAACCUGCACAGAAUGGCAACAGAUAACAAGGCACUAGGCUUCUGAACUACAAGGACAAUUACCAAAGAACACAGUGAGAUAACAACAACACCGAAAACACAACUGUAUAGUAGACGUCAUCGGAUUCUUACUCAG